rnacentral:lncRNA from 1 species
CUGCAGUCAACGCAGCCUCCCGGCUCAGCCUGGGAAGAUGCGCGAAUCGGGAACCCCAGAGCGCGGUGGCUAGACCGGGCUCCGCCGCCUCCCCCACAGCCCCUUUCCUAAUCGUUCAGACGGAGCCUGGUCGACUUCGCCGGAGACUGCCAGAUCUCGUUCCUCUUCCCUGUGUCAUCUUCUUAAUUAUAAAUAAUGGGGGAUGAAGAUAAAAGAAUUACAUAUGAAGAUUCAGAACCAUCCACAGGAAUGAAUUACACGCCCUCCAUGCAUCAAGAAGCACAGGAGGAGACAGUUAUGAAGCUCAAAGGUAUAGAUGCAAAUGAACCAACAGAAGGAAGUAUUCUUUUGAAAAGCAGUGAAAAAAAGCUACAAGAAACACCAACUGAAGCAAAUCACGUACAAAGACUGAGACAAAUGCUGGCUUGCCCUCCACAUGGUUUACUGGACAGGGUCAUAACAAAUGGAAUGGAUUUGGUCUUUGAAGGAAGCCAAAGGUUAUUCUGCCAUCAAUUUGAUAAAUAUAUGGAAGUUCAGAUUGAUUUAUGCCCUAUUUUUCUUCAGAAAUGAAUUGUGUGCAUAUGUGUGUCUGUGCUGUGUAUGCUGGGGGAAUAUGUGAUAAAGCAGAAAAAAGAAGAGAUUUGAAAAUUAUCUAUAAAGGCAAAUUAGGUUUUUUUAAGAAGACAGUAUUCUUUUAUUGAGACUUAAAAUUUAUUUUAUUUUUUACAUUGAUAGAUAAAAUUGUAUGUAUUUACCAUGUGCAACAUGAUGUUUUGAAGUAUGUAUACAUACUGGAAUGACUAAUUUUAGCUAAUUAACAUAUG